CCUACGGGAGGCAGCAGUGGGGAAUAUUGGGCAAUGGGCGCAAGCCUGACCCAGCAACGCCGCGUGAAGGAAGAAGGCUUUCGGGUUGUAAACUUCUUUUGUCAGGGACGAAGCGAGUGACAGUACCUGACGAAUAAGCCACGGCUAACUACGUGCCAGCGGCCGCGCUAAUACGUAGGUGGCAAGCGUUAUCCGGAUUUACUGGGUGUAAAGGGCGUGUAGGCGGGACUGCAAGACAGAUGUGAAAACCACGGGCUCAACCUGUUGCCUGCAGUUGAAACUGUAGUUCUUGAGUACUGGAGAGGCAGACGGAAUUCCUAGUGUAGCGGUGAAAUGCGUAGAUAUUAGGAGGAACACCAGUGGCGAAGGCGGUCUGCUGGACAGCAACUGACGCUGAGGCGCGAAAGCGUGGGGAGCAAACAGGAUUAGAUACCCGAGUAGUC
rnacentral:rRNA from 1 species